AGAUAGCAGCUGGCGGUGAUAUAUUAUUCCUCAUUAUAAAGAACAAAUCGACGAUGAAGCUAGCCAUUGUCCUCCUUUCGAUCCUCUUCACGUGUUGCAAUGCCCGACUACAGCUCUCCAGACAGUCGUACAUGAAAUUCCCCUACCAAUAUACCAACGGGGACCCGACCAGCCCGCGAUACGGUCUCUUCCAGAAUGCCGCCCACAAAGCAGCCUUCCACACCGUAGAUAAAAUUCUUUACGUCGCUUGUAAGUUGUUUUCAUUUGCAAAUUGCGAUUUUUAUAUGAUGAAUUUAAUAUUGCAAUGGACAUGUAUUUAUUCUAAAUACAUGUAUAGCUGCGCGAUCAGCACAGAAAUACCUCCACAUCAUUGACAUGAACAACCCCGCCGCCCCCACCAUCUUGAUGACACACGUGUUCGAAAACACGGUUGAUGGACAUAUUACAGCGUUGGACACAUUCUCACAGGAUCUCGAGCCCGAGUCAGUGACCAUCAGUAACGAUGAUAGAUUUGCUUUCGUCUCUUGUCAGAGAAACAACGCCAUUCUGAAGAUCGACAUGUUUAACCAGAGGAUCAUAGAGCUCUACUCCCUGGGGGCCAAGAACUGGACAAGCUUCAAUAUAGACACCAGUGACAUGAAUGACGCUGCCAACCUGCGCUACCACACGGUCUAUUCCUUCUACCAGCCUGCACAGCUCGCCUACAGCGUCAUUGACGGCAAAGGUUACGUCGUUUCCGUCGACACCGGUAAAAUGACGACAUACACGCAGGCGCAACAUGGCUAUGCGUUCAACGACGGUGUGAGAGCUCGGGUUGCCUGGAGUGACGGUGAACUAGAUACUACCACCAUGAACCCCACGCUUCUCGCUCAAAUCCAGGACAACCAGCAGCUAGGAAGAGUACACAUGAGCCGAGUAGAUGGAUAUAACAUUUUCAACAAAAUCGGUGACGUUUUCCUCUUUGGUGGGCGUGGCAUUUCUCUGUGGGAUUCCACCACAAUGGCCCACGUGUUUGACAGUGGGGAUGAUUUAGAGAGAAGAGCCUCUCAGCUCUAUCCAAACACGUUCAAUGGAGAUUGUUCAAACGGCAACCAAUCUCCAACACAGCAGGUUGACGAGAGGUCCGAUGAUAUGGGCCCUGAGCCCGGCGCCCUGGCCUCGGGCGUGGUGGGAACCACUCCUGUCCUCAUCGUGGGCUCCAGGAAUGGAGUAAUCUAUGUCUUUAAUAUGAGGGGUGUUAGCGCCAAUUUUGAGAGCGCCCACCGCGAAGGAUCCACUAAUGACAUUUGGAACAAUCUGUAUACUAACGAUGCCGCUGGAGAUCAAAUCAUCUCUGAUAUGGGUUUUGUCGGGGCGGGAAACAGUCCAUCCGGUACGCCAUUCGUCUACGUCAUCGGACAAGCUACGGGAUCUCUCUCCGUUUAUAAUGUUGUUGAUGUACCUGACAUAUUCUAAAUAUAUUCUUUUU
rnacentral:misc_RNA from 1 species